rnacentral:rRNA from 1 species
UACGGAGGAUCCAAGCGUUAUCCGGAAUCAUUGGGUUUAAAGGGUCCGUAGGCGGUUUGGUAAGUCAGUGGUGAAAGCCCAUCGCUCAACGGUGGAACGGCCAUUGAUACUGCCAGACUUAAAUUAUUAGGAAGUAACUAGAAUAUGUAGUGUAGCGGUGAAAUGCUUAGAGAUUACAUGGAAUACCAAUUGCGAAGGCAGGUUACUACUAAUGGAUUGACGCUGAUGGACGAAAGCGUGGGUAGCGAACAGG